AGUGAACGCUGGCGGUAGGCCUAACACAUGCAAGUCGAACGGCAGCACAGUAAGAGCUUGCUCUUACGGGUGGCGAGUGGCGGACGGGUGAGGAAUACAUCGGAAUCUACUUUUUCGUGGGGGAUAACGUAGGGAAACUUACGCUAAUACCGCAUACGACCUACGGGUGAAAGCAGGGGAUCUUCGGACCUUGCGCGAUUGAAUGAGCCGAUGUCGGAUUAGCUAGUUGGCGGGGUAAAGGCCCACCAAGGCGACGAUCCGUAGCUGGUCUGAGAGGAUGAUCGGCCACACUGGAACUGAGACACGGUCCAGACUCCUACGGGAGGCAGCAGUGGGGAAUAUUGGGCAAUGGGCGCAAGCCUGAUCCAGCAAUACCGCGUGGGUGAAGAAGGCCUUCGGGUUGUAAAGCCCUUUUGUUGGGAAAGAAAAGCGGCAGGUUAAUACCCCGCUGUUCUGACGGUACCCAAAGAAUAAGCACCGGCUAACUUCGUG
rnacentral:rRNA from 1 species